rnacentral:lncRNA from 1 species
GGAGGUGGAGAACUGGUCAGAAUCUUAGAGAGAAGUUUGAAGGUCUAGAGAGAAGGAGGAGAAAAAAUGGGGUUCUGGAAUUUGGGUUCUGAGGAAGAAGAAGGGUUGCAUGCAGAAAGGUGGCAAAAUUUUAAAAUCCCACCUUAAAUAUGGCCUCCAAUCUGGACGGUUGUCCAUCCUCCAACUGCCACAUGGCUUCCACUACUAGGAACUCUUCAUUCUCCUUACAGCCG